rnacentral:rRNA from 1 species
GACGAACGUUGGCGGCGUGCUUAAUACAUGCAAGUCAACCGAAGCAGUGGUAGCAAUAUCGCUGUGGAGGUGGCGCACGGGUGAGUAACACGUAGGUAAUCUGCCUUCAGGUCUGGCAUAACUCCGGGAAACCGGGGCUAAUAGCAGAUGAUGCAGCGGCUCGACAUCGAGACAGUUGUUAAAGCUAUGGCGCCUGAAGAUGAGCCUGCGUCUGAUUAGCUAGUUGGCGGGGUAACGGCCCACCAAGGCAACGAUCAGUAGCUGGUCUGAGAGGAUGAUCAGCCACACUGGAACUGAGACACGGUCCAGACUCCGACGGGAGGCAGCAGUAAGGAAUAUUGCUCAAUGGGAGAAAUCCUGAAGCAGCAACGCCGCGUGAGGGACGAGGGGCUUUUGCUUGUAAACCUCUGUAGUGAGAGAAAAAAAUCCCAAUCUUUGGGACAUGAUGGUAUCUCAAAAGUAAGCCCCGGCUAACUACGUG